rnacentral:misc_RNA from 1 species
GACGGAGGGGGCUAGCGUUGUUCGGAAUGACUGGGCGUAAAGGGCGCGUAGGUUGCUUAUUAAGUUAGAUGUGAAAUCCCUGGGCUUAACCCAGGAACUGCAUUUAAAACUGGUAAGCUAGAGUGUGGUAGAGGGACGUGGAAUUCCGAGUGUAGAGGUGAAAUUCGUAGAUAUUCGGAGGAACAUCUGAGGCGAAGGCGAGGUCCUGGGCCACAACUGACACUGAGGCGCGAAAGCCAGGGGAGCAAACGGG